AGGGGCUGCCCGCUGGCGCAGGUGCAGCGCGAUCUCACAUCUCUUGCUGGGGGGAGGGAAGAACGCCACAGACUCGGCACCAGCCCGGUGCAGCUCCUGGCCGCGCACAACCGCUCUGCGCUGGCGCGGUGAGGACGGGGAUACACGUCAAAGGGCUUCUCCCAGGCAGAGCCUUUCUACGGCUCAGCGGGUGGCCGGGUGCCGCACGCCGCGAUUUCGGGCAUCGUUCUAGAACUGAGAAGGCACCUCCCUCCCGGCAGAAAGAGCUGAACGGUGCAGCCCUGUUGGUGCUGCACGGGCACAGUGUGCGCUCGGAGAAAGCAGCUCGGGCGCGAUCGGGCUGACAGGCACCGCACCACACCCCCCCUGCAGCAUGGGCUGGAGUUACGGAGGCGCCCACGAACAGUGCCACGCACUUACAGAGAUGACAGCAGUGGUAACAGCAACAGUGGCUACUCUCCUGCAUUCUGCAUUCCCACAUGGCAGCAACUCCAAGAUUUUAAAGAAAGUUCAGAUGUGUCAGUAGUAUGUUCUGGCACCAAAGAGGUGGCAUUCAUGUAUGGACAGAGGCUAUGUCAUCUGCAUCAAAAACUGCAGACUUGUGGAAGAACUGCAAAGCAACAUCUGUGCAAGAUCAGAAUAUGUAUGGAGUACUUAACGAGCUUUGCUGUGAUGUACUGCAUUAUAGAACAGAAAGAAGGACCAGUGACACUUCUGCUUGGCAGAGCUCUGAGACAGUGCCGGGAAAUCCUGGAACAUGUCAGCAACAAAGAGUCCCACAAGAAAACUCUCUGAUAAGUCGCUGCUUUGAUAUAUUAAUGGAGAAACUAGCAGAGUCAUCAUUGCAUUGCACAAUAACUUGACCUAGAUGAAAUGAUCCUGUGUGGAAACAGAGAUGACACGUGCCCUUGAGGGUGAAGGUUAGCAGAACCUUUGCAUGUUUCAGGAUUCUGACAGCUUUGCAAAGAAAGUUUUCACUAGUUUAUAAACUAGUCUUGUUUUAUGGUAAUUAGCUGUUAUUGGAAAGUGACAUUAGAAAGGCUCACCUCCCUUUGGCAGAGGAACAUAAAAUCAUGGCCCACCUGCAUGUUAGCACAGAAGAGGCAUUAAAAGCUGUAUUUUCAAUCAAAAAGUCUUUGCCUCCCAUCAGAGAUCCUGAGUAUGGAGAAAUUUGAAGACAGAAUUCUUUAUAAUCAGGGCAGCAAAUCUGCAAGGACUGGCAUGUCACCUGGCAGGAACAGGUAUCAAGCAGCUCCCCACAACGAUGUGAGCAAGAGUCUUGAGCUCCUUGUUAAAGGAAAAGAAAAAUACAAACAGGAAUGUUAUUGGACUCUUCUAGAUGUUCCCUGAAACAGAAGUACAUCAUCUAAAAGACUACUGCAAACAAAUGAAGUAGACUGGUUGUGCUAGUUUAGGUGAUUGCUGAAGAACUAGCAUUAGAAAAUGGAGAGAAGGGAACACAAAAGGAGCCAACCACACAUAAGCAAGCUACUGGCCUGUGUGCUUCUCUGACUGACUCCUGCCCCUGAUCACCACAGCCAAUUUGUUAAAUCCUGGUGCUGUUUUCUGUAUCGCUUCUCUCUCCUGUGUGUGCACGCACAUACAUGUUUUCAUACAUGAACCAGCCAGUCAGUAGAAGGACACCUGCACUUGGAAACACCUAAGGUCUGAACUGUUGUGACCACAUAAGGGACUUGGGAUCUGGGCUUAGCUAAUAGGCAUAUUUAAAGCCUAUGCUAGUACACAAGGUGUCAGUGACUGUGGUGGGCCUGUGAAUGGGGAGAGAAAUGGUAUAUUUCUGGGUUUGCUAGUGACCCUGCAUUAGCAGGAGAGGAGGAACAGAACUGAGUGUCACAUAGAUUUAUGAGAGUGCUAUCUGUGUUUAUUUGGAUGCCUGUAAAAAGCACUGCUCUGGCUUAGCCUCGCUGGCUUUGUUAAUGUGAUGGUUCCGGACGUGUAUCUGCCUUGCUGCAAUAGAGGUUCAGCCUCCAGACUGUACCUACAAGCAGGGACAGCACUAUCCACAUCUGUGGGUCUGAGACCAGAGGAAUUUCCUGAAUCUGAGAGGACAGUAGAUAUGACACUAGUGGAUUGGGAAUGAGACAUCUACUGUGUCCCAAAAGCUGGAGGAUUUCACCUAGUCCUUAAAGGUCAUUAACAACGUAUGAACAAGAUUAUGAGAAGAAGAAAGAAUUUAGAGUCAGCCCUCAUGGGGCUGCUGAAGAGCAAAUGCUUGCACUUCCAGGUAUGGCAGCUUCUGCUGAAAUCAGAAAAUAUUGCUGAGUGUUGGGGGGGAGGGGGCAGGAGAUUGCUGGCACUGUGGGAGACUAGGGGUUUCUGGUAGGAUUGAAAGAUCAGGAAAAUUGAAAAAUAGUAAAAUCUUUGUUUUUCUCUCUUUGCUGGCCCUCCUUCUAUAUCCUGCAAUAGCACGUGAGAGAUCGACAGAAAAGAGCAAGAACGGUAGUGAGUCAGAAAUAAAUGUCAGCCUUCAUUCUACAGCAGAAAA